GACGAACGCUGGCGGCGUGCUUAACACAUGCAAGUCGAACGGAAAGGCCCUGCUUUUGUGGGGUGCUCGAGUGGCGAACGGGUGAGUAACACGUGAGUAACCUGCCCUUGACUUUGGGAUAACUUCAGGAAACUGGGGCUAAUACCGGAUAGGAGCCCCUGCUGUAUGGUGGGGGUUGGAAAGUUUCGGCGGUUGGGGAUGGACUCGCGGCUUAUCAGCUUGUUGGUGGGGUAGUGGCUUACCAAGGCUUUGACGGGUAGCCGGCCUGAGAGGGUGACCGGCCACAUUGGGACUGAGAUACGGCCCAGACUCCUACGGGAGGCAGCAGUGGGGAAUAUUGCACAAUGGGCGGAAGCCUGAUGCAGCAACGCCGCGUGCGGGAUGACGGCCUUCGGGUUGUAAACCGCUUUCGCCUGUGACGAAGCGUGAGUGACGGUAAUGGGUAAAGAAGCACCGGCUAACUACGUG
rnacentral:rRNA from 1 species